rnacentral:rRNA from 1 species
AUGAUGAUGAUCAAUGAAACUUCUGAUCAAGUUACUACCAAACCUCGUAGGUCAACCAGAGUAAGAUCCGCACCAGAGUGGUACUGUAAUCCUGUUCUGGAGGUCAUGUUAGUUGACCUUGACGAACCUACGAACUAUGAGGAAGCGAUGAUGAGCCCAGAUUCCGCGAAAUGGCUUGAGGCCAUGAAAUCUGAUAUGGGAUCCAUGUAUGAGAACAAAGUGUGGACUUUGGUUGACUUGCCCGAUGAUCGGCAAGCCAUUGAGAAUAAAUGGAUCUUCAAGAGGAAGACGGACACUGAUAGUAGUGUUAGUAUCUACAAAGCUCGAAUUGUCGCAAAAACUUUUCGACAAGUUCAAGGUGUUGACUACGAUAAGAUUUUCUCACUCGUAGCUAUACUUAAGUCUGUCCGAAUCAUGUUAGCAAUUGAUGCAUUUUAUGAAAUUUGGCAAAUGGAUGUCAAAACUGCAUUCCUUAAUGGAUUUCUUAAAGAAGAGUUGUAUAUGAUACAACAAGAAGGUUUUCUCAAUCCUAAAGGUGCUAACAAAGUGUGCAAGCUCCAGUGA